CCAGACCGCCAGCUAAGGUCCCAAAGUCAUGGUUAAGUGGGAAACGAUGUGGGAAGGCCCAGACAGCCAGGAUGUUGGCUUAGAAGCAGCCAUCAUUUAAAGAAAGCGUAAUAGCUCACUGGUCGAGUCGGCCUGCGCGGAAGAUGUAACGGGGCUAAACCAUGCACCGAAGCUGCGGCAGCGACACUAUGUGUUGUUGGGUAGGGGAGCGUUCUGUAAGCCUGUGAAGGUGUACUGUGAGGUAUGCUGGAGGUAUCAGAAGUGCGAAUGCUGACAUAAGUAACGAUAAAGCGGGUGAAAAGCCCGCUCGCCGGAAGACCAAGGGUUCCUGUCCAACGUUAAUCGGGGCAGGGUGAGUCGACCCCUAAGGCGAGGCCGAAAGGCGUAGUCGAUGGGAAACAGGUUAAUAUUCCUGUACUUGGUGUUACUGCGAAGGGGGGACGGAGAAGGCUAUGUUGGCCGGGCGACGGUUGUCCCGGUUUAAGCGU
rnacentral:rRNA from 1 species